rnacentral:rRNA from 1 species
UACGUAGGAUGCAAGCGUUGUUCGGAAUUACUGGGCGUAAAGAGUACGUAGGCGGUUUGAUAAGUCUGAUAUUAAAGACUGGAGCUUAACUCCAGGACUGUAUCGGAAACUGUCAGACUAGAGGACUAUAGAAGGAAGGUACGGAAUUCUCAGUGUAGGAGGUGAAAAUUCGUAGAUAUUGGGGAAGAACACCGGUGGCGAAGGCGGCUCUCUGGACCGAGACUGACGCUGAGGCGCGAAAGCGUGGGGAGCAAACAGG